UGGGAACACAGGCUGACCCCUGGGUCUGAGGAGAGGGUGGAGGGAGGCCUUUGGCCUCGACCUUGAAGAGCGUCUCCCUUCACCUUGGAUCCAGUCAAUUAAGUCACCACGAUGACAAGAACUGCUGCUAUAAAUGGGCCUGGGCACAGCGUAGCUGACUCUGGGUGAGCACAGAGCUCAGCUGGUGGGAACAGAGCGCGUGGUGCAGCCUCCUGGUGUAGGGCAUCCACCAGCGUAUUUCACAGGAAGUUGAAAAGCAUGGUAAGUAUAGUGGGCUAAGAGGAAGUCAGUUAAAAAAAGCUUCUUAUCCACUUGGAAAUAUUUGAAUUAACCGACUGAAUUUUUCAUGUUACAUCAAGUUCUUUGAGUGAAGGUACCUGGCCAAGAAGGGUGCGAAGUCUGGUGAAAAGUCAACAUGGUGCCACAGACAGCGGUUCAUCCCACAUACAGCACGGCCAGGCUGGAGGCAGCAGCCAGGGAAAGGGAGCAGGAGACGGGGUGAGGAGGAUGAGUGCUUCAGUCAAGUGGUGUUGGCUGCAGCCCUUUCCUCUCCAGAAACUAAAUUUGUUCAACUGGCUCCCACAGCAAACUUAUGCUGAGAGUGGGGGCCAGUGAGUAAAAUUCAAGCCUUUUGCACUCAGUUGCAGCCCCUUCAAAACUCAUCUCCUCUCCCUGAGUGAGGCUGGGAGUGGCUGAGUAUUUGUUUCCCGCCGGCAGGUGGCUUGGCAGCCACAUCCUUGUAGAACAUGAUGUGCUCCUUGCAGGAGCAAGAGAGAGGAUGAUUAUGAAUCAUGGAACAUCAGAGUGCCAAGGGUCCUCAGUGUCCUCUACUCCAACCAUCCCAGUUUACAGAUGAAGAGAUUGAGGUCCAGAUAGAGGGUGCGGCUUGCCACCGACUUGACCAUCAUGCUGACCAUGUUCAGCAAACAUAGAUAUGCUAAUUUCAUAUUCCAAACUUCUGCCCCAAAUUCUCUGAAGCUCAGAGGGACAUUGCAUCACUGGAUGAUAACAAGAGGAGAAAAGUGACCAGUGGAAGUGCUGACAAGGUGACUACAGAAUACAAGGCUCAUUGCUGAGUUAGAAAGGAUCUUGAGUGACCAUGUAGUCUAAAGCUUUCAUUUUCCAGUUGAGGACACAAAGCUCUGUGCAGGCAGUGACAGAAUUAUCUGAAGCAUGAGCUAGGAGAAAAAAAUAAAAUUUGAAAUCUUGGAAAUUCAUCAAUUGAAAUAUGUAAUACCUGGGCUGCUAAGAGCCCCAAGUUGGCUGCAUUAAUUUUAUCUCAUGCAUCUCCAUCUCCAGUGCCUGGCACAGCACACGGUAGGUUCUUGAUAAAUGUCCUUUAACUGAAUUAUGAAGCUUAUCAUUCAAGUUAACAUAGCAUAAGGCACAAUGUAUAUUCCAUAAGGAGGUUAAAAGGUAGUCAAGACCACAGCUGGUUGAAGGGGUAGGAAAGGCUUCCUGGAGGAGACGGUGUUGAGGUAGGCCUUAAAAAAUGGGCGGGAUUUUGAGGGGUGGGUUUUGUGG
rnacentral:lncRNA from 1 species